rnacentral:rRNA from 1 species
CCUACGGGUGACAGCAGUGGGGAAUAUUGCACAAUGGGGGAAACCCUGAUGCAGCGACGCCGCGUGAGCGAUGAAGGAUUUCGGUAUGUAAAGCUCUAUCAGCAGGGAAGAAAAUGACGGUACCUGACGAAUAAGACCCGGCGAACUACGUGCCAGCAGCCGCGGUAAUACGUAGGGUGCAAGCGUUAUCCGGAUUUACUGGGUGUAAAGGGAGCGUAGACGGCGGUGCAAGCCAGCUGUGAAAGCCCGGGGCUCAACCCCGGGACUGCAUUUGGAACUGUGCUGCUAGAGUGUCGGAGAGGUAGGCGGAAUUCGUAGUGUAGCGGUGAAAUGCGUAGAUAUUAGGAGGAACACCAGUGGCGAAGGCGACCUGCUGGACGAUGACUGACGUUGAGGCUCGAAAGCGUGGGGAGCGAACAGGAUUAGAUACCCUGGUAGUC